UGGGGAAUAUUGCACAAUGGGCGCAAGCCUGAUGCAGCCAUGCCGCGUGUGUGAAGAAGGCCUUCGGUUGUAAAGCACUUUCAGCGAGGAGGAAGGUGGUGAGCUUAAUACGCUCAUCAAUUGACGUUACUCGCAGAAGAAGCACCGGCUAACUCCGUGCCAGCAGCCGCGGUAAUACGGAGGGUGCAAGCGUUAAUCGGAAUUACUGGGCGUAAAGCGCACGCAGGCGGUUUGUUAAGUCAGAUGUGAAAUCCCCGGGCUCAACCUGGGAACUGCAUUUGAAACUGGCAAGCUAGAGUCUCGUAGAGGGGGGUAGAAUUCCAGGUGUAGCGGUGAAAUGCGUAGAGAUCUGGAGGAAUACCGGUGGCGAAGGCGGCCCCCUGGACGAAGACUGACGCUCAGGUGCGAAAGCGUGGGGCAGCAAACAGGAUUAGAUACCCUGGUAGUCCACGCUGUAAACGAUGUCGAUUUUGGAGGUUGUGCCCUUGAGGCGUGGCUUCCGGAGCUAACGCGUUAAAUCGACCGCCUGGGGAGUACGGCCGCAAGGUUAAAACUUAAAGGAAUUGAC
rnacentral:rRNA from 1 species